CGACUGCAGAGUGCCACUUCGUGGCGCAGUGGCUGCGGCAGAAGUUGGACCUGGAAGCAGACCCGUGUGAAGACUUCUACCGUUUUGUAUGCGGCACCUUCCAGGGGCCGGGAAGCGACGUUUACUUUCAGACUACCCAUGUUAUGAAAAGCAUCACAAUAGGAGCUGCGUACGCCACCCGUGUUCCAGCCACUGGUCAGACUUCAUGGCAAAAAGCUGCCGGCAUGUUCCAGGCCUGUGUUUCCCUCAUCGAGUCGAACCGCAGCGAAACGAGUGACCUUGUAGCAUGGAUGACUUCGAUUGAUUUGGACCUGAGCAACCAGGCAGUGCUACAGAGCGUCGAC